CAAGAUUAAAGAGGCCAUUAAGAAACACUGGGACACAAAAGAUUGGCGAGUGGCCCUAUCCCAUCUUGGAAAUGCUAAGUACAAGAGAGGUCACUUCAUAGACUGGAAAUUCUGCCCUAAGGUAGGCACUCAUGGUCAUGAGCCACUCCAGACAGCGUGAUAAGGGCAUCAUGAUCCAGGGAAGAUAGUUACUAGACAGGUGCUUCCCUCUUCACUUCUGGUUUAUGUUGUCAGUACAUCAUCCCCAUACUCUUGCAGAAGAGAAAUUCAUCUCAGCUUUUAAGGACCACCGGAUAUGAGAGAGAGACAGAGAGAGGGAAAGAGAGGAAGAGAGAUUGAACUAGUUAGUUUAUGGUGUCCUCAAGAUUCUGUUCAGAUGUCUUGACUAGUCAGGCUGGAAUGAAUAAAUAAGAAGGCCAACAAAAAUAAAAAUGGAUACUUAUAAAUGACAUGUGAAUAGAAUGCCAGAUCUCCACCCCAUGUUAAAUAGCUGUUAUACAGACAAACAUAAGCGAUGAAGGGACUGCAGGAUCCAGAUAACAGAAGCCAGCAAUGAACACCGACCAUGGAUGACAGAUUAAAUAGACAGACACUCCUGUUAAAGAAGCCAGAAUUGCAAUGGAAUGGAGCCACUUGGCUACUUGCAGUUUAUUGAUGUGGAUCAUCAUCAUUUCCAGGAAGCAAAGCAACUAACUCCCUUCUUCAUAAAUGGUGUAAUUGCCCUUAAAUAUCCAGAGAGAAAGAGACUGAGAGUACAGCUGCUAGAGUGUCUUGUAGGGGACAGUCGAGUUUUCCAUCUUGCUCCUAAUGGUCUAUGGCUGAA